CCAUGAGCUUUUAGCUCUAGAAU
rnacentral:snRNA from 1 species